CAGUCGCGCGGUAAUACGAAGGGUGCAAGCGUUACUCGGAAUUACUGGGCGUAAAGCGUGCGUAGGUGGUGGUUUAAGUCCGUUGUGAAAGCCCUGGGCUCAACCUGGGAAUUGCAGUGGAUACUGGGUCACUAGAGUGUGGUAGAGGAUAGUGGAAUUUCCGGUGUAGCAGUGAAAUGCGUAGAGAUCGGAAGGAACAUCUGUGGCGAAGGCGACUAUCUGGGCCAACACUGACACUGAGGCACGAAAGCGUGGGGAGCAAACAGGAUUAGAUACCCCCGUAGUCCCUGUCUCUUAUACA
rnacentral:rRNA from 1 species